GAUGAAGAACGUAGUAAAAUGCGAUACUUGGUGUGAAUUGCAGAAUCCCGUGAACCAUCGAGUUUUUGAACGCAAGUUGCGCCCGAAGCCUUUUGGCCGAGGGCACGUCUGCCUGGGCAUCACGCAUCGCGUCGCCCCCCACAAAUUCUCCUCAGGGGAGCUUGUGUUUCGGGGGCGGAUACUGGUCUCCCGUGCUCAUGGCGCGGUUGGCCGAAAUAGGAGUCCCUUCGAUGGACGCACGAACUAGUGGUGGUCGUAAAAACCCUCGUCUUUUGUUUCGUGCCGUUAGUCGCGAGGGAAGCUCUUCAAAAACCCCAGCGCGUCGUCUCUUGACGGCGCUUCGACCGCGACCCCAGGUCAGGCGGGACUACCCGCUGAGUUUAAGCAUAUCAAUAAGCGGUGGA
rnacentral:misc_RNA from 1 species